rnacentral:rRNA from 1 species
UGGGGAAUAUUGGACAAUGGGCGCAAGCCUGAUCUAGCCAUGCCGCGUGAGUGAUGAAGGCCUUAGGGUUGUAAAGCUCUUUCGCCCGCGAAGAUAAUGACGGUAGCGGGAGAAGAAGCCCCGGCUAACUUCGUGCCAGCAGCCGCGGUAAUACGAAGGGGGCUAGCGUUGUUCGGAAUCACUGGGCGUAAAGCGUACGUAGGCGGAUCGUUAAGUCAGGGGUGAAAGCCUGGAGCUCAACUCCAGAACUGCCUUUGAUACUGUCGAUCUUGAGUCCGGGAGAGUUGAGUGGAACUGCUAGUGUAGAGGUGAAAUUCGUAGAUAGUGGCAAGAACACCAGUGGCGAAGGCGGCUCACUGGCCCGGUACUGACGCUGAGGUACGAAAGCGUGGGGAGCAAACA